GUGCACCAGUCGCGAAAACUUUACAAUGCAGGCAACUGUGAUAAGGGAACCCCGAGUGCCCGUAUGGACGGGCUGUUCAGGUGCUUAAAAACCACCUGGAGAAAGGGCCGGGCAAGACCGGUGCCAGCCGCCGCGGUAAUACCGGCGGCUCGAGUGGUGGCCACUAUUACUGGGCUUAAAGCGUCCGUAGCUUGGUCGUUAAGCCUCUGGGGAAAUCUUCCGGCUCAACCGGAAGGCGUCUCAGGGGAACUGGCGGCCUAGGGAUCGGGAGAGGUGAGAGGUACUCUGGGGGUAGGAGUGAAAUCCUGUAAUCCUCAGGGGACCACCUGUGGCGAAGGCGUCUCACCAGAACGACUCCGACAGUGAGGGACGAAAGCUGGGGGAGCAAACCGGAUUAGAUACCCAGGUAGUCC
rnacentral:rRNA from 1 species